UGUGGGAGGGGGCUUGCUCCCGAAAGCGGUAGAUCUGUCAAACAUGUGUUGACUGACUCUGCUAUCGGGAGCAAGCCCCCUCUCACA
rnacentral:misc_RNA from 1 species